AACGGCCAUACCAUGCUGAAUAUACCGGUUCUCGUUAGAUCACCGAAGUCAAGCAUCAUUGGGCGCGGUCAGUACUUGGAUGGGUGACCACCUGGGAACACCGCGUGCCGU
rnacentral:rRNA from 1 species